CUAGACGAACUGCCGUUGACAAAACGGGAGGAAGGUGGGGAUGACGUCAAAUCAUCAUGCCCCUUAUGUUCUGGGCUACACACGUGCUACAAUGGCCGGUACAGACGGACGCAAAGCCGCGAGGUGGAGCAAAUCCUAAAAAGCCGGUCUCAGUUCGGAUUGCAGGCUGCAAUUCGCCUGCAUGAAGUCGGAAUCGCUAGUAAUCGCAGGUCAGCAUACUGCGGUGAAUACGUUCCCGGCCUU
rnacentral:rRNA from 1 species